AUGGAGGGAUUUUCCUUCCAGCCCCCCGCCGUCGAUGCCGCCGCCGCCCGCUACCCCGCCUCGGUUAUCAUUGGCAAAGAGGCCCACUUCGACGACGACAAGGGAAGGAAUGUCACUACCGCUGAAGCCAUGACGAGCACCGGCCACACCGUCGGGGUAACCUUCCACCUCGCCAAUCCUCCGGCAGUCUCCCACUUCAGCGUCCAUGGCCCUAGACUCAAGCGCGAGGAUUUCGAAGGUGUGCCCGAGGUCGUCUCCGCUCAGAAAGACCUCGUCCUCCUCCGCCUGGCCCUCACCUUUGGCCCAAGAAUUCGAAGCGGCACCCCUGGAUCGCCUGAUCGUGUGCUCCACGACUACUUCGUCUACGAGGCCCGCCGUGGCAUGGCGUCGCUGAAACUCAUCCCGGUUCUUUAUACUUAUUAUAAACCAAUGUCUAUCUGCAUCGUGCCCAGUGACGACGGGGAAUUCCUCAUCGCCGCUUUCCUCUGUACGAAUCACGUCUUCGAAGAGGACCGCUGCGUCUUCUCGUCCAAGACGGGGAAGUGGAGCAGCUGUGAACGUUUGGAACUCAAGAUACCUCCGGAGAUCAACUAUCACGACCUGCCCAGGCCAACCGACAAAGUGAUCCUGCUCGGAGGAGGCGAGGUGGGCUUGGUCGACCUCCGGCGGGGCAUCAAAAUCUGCAACGUGCUGGACGCGGACCCAGUCUUCCGUCUCAUACCGCUACCCAAGGCUGAAUUCUUCCAUGACAAUGACAAUUGGGACGACUCGCAGCUGAUCCGGGAUGUCGUCGUCUGCGAUGGCUUCAUCCAGCUUGUCGAGAUAGAUCGCCGUUUCAGGCAGGUGCUUGGCGCGAACGAUAAAAAGAAGAGCUGCAAGAAGAUGACCAGCGAUUUUGACAAGAAUACAGAUAUUAUCUACGACUCGGAGGUCCUCCACCGCAAUCAUGCCCGUCCGGAACUCAUUCCUGUCCCUGAUGGCUGGAAGAUCCGGACAUGUUACAGGCACAAAUCCUGGGACUAUUGGCUUAAGGGGCACGUUGUUGAUGUUGAUGGCUCGUUUGAUCAUGUGCCCGAGCUGUCGGAUGGCGGUGCCGGAAAAUAUGCAUUAAGGGACCUCGCGACAGCUUACCCGGCCCUGAGCGUUGUUCCUUCGGAAGAUGUUGUUUACCUCACGUCCAAGGUGAAGUCUGAUGACACCAAGGCCUGGAUGGUUGCUCUUCACCUCAGAAGCAAGACGCUGGAGGCACUUGGACCAUAUUCUGCAAGUUAUUUCAAACGGCCCAAGUUCCUUGUCUGUGCAUUUUCCGAAUAUCUGAAUACACCUCCAAAUCAGGUUCCCGCGUAA
rnacentral:rRNA from 1 species